rnacentral:rRNA from 1 species
GACGAACGCUGGCGGCGUGCUUAACACAUGCAAGUCGAACGGAAAGGCCCUGCUUUUGUGGGGUGCUCGAGUGGCGAACGGGUGAGUAACACGUGAGUAACCUGCCCUUGACUUUGGGAUAUCUUCAGGAAACUGGGGCUAAUACCGGAUAUGAGCUCCUGCUGCACGGGGGGGGUUGGAAAGUUGCGGCGGUUGGGGAUGUACUCGCGGCUUAGCAGCUUGUUGGUGGGCUAGUGGCUUACCAAGGCUUUGACGGGUAGCCGGCCUGAGAGGUUGACCGGCCGCAUUGGGCCUGAGUCACGGCCCAGGCAGCUGCGGGGGGCAGCGGUGGGGAAUAGUGCACCAUGGGCGGCGGCCUGAUGCAGCAGAGCCGCGUGCGGGAGGACGGCCUUCGGGUUGUAAGCCGCUUUCGCCUGUGACGAAGCGUGAGUGGAGGGAAUGGGUAGAAAAGCCCCGGGUUACUUCGUGC